CGGCCAGACUCCUACGGGAGGCAGCAGUGGGGAAUAUUGCACAAUGGGCGCAAGCCUGAUGCAGCGACGCCGCGUGCGGGAUGGAGGCCUUCGGGUUGUAAACCGCAUUUGUUCAAGGGCAAGGCACGGUCUUUGGCCGUGUUGAGUGGGUUGUUCGAAUAAGCAUCGGCUAACUCCGUGCCAGCAGCCGCGGUAAUACGGAGGAUGCGAGCGUUAUCCGGAUUUAUUGGGUUUAAAGGGUGCGUGGGCGGAUUUUUAAGUCAGCGGGAAAAUGCCCGGGCUCAACCCGGGCCGGCCGUUGAAACUGGGGAUCUUGAGUGGGCGAGAAGUAUGCGGAAUGCGUGGUGUAGCGGUGAAAUGCAUAGAUAUCACGCAGAACUCCGAUUGCGAAGGCAGCAUACCGGCG
rnacentral:rRNA from 1 species